GUACCCUCAAGCUCUGCUUGGUGUUGGGUGUUUGUCCACUCCCUGCGUUUGGACUCGCCUUAAAGCAAUUGGCAGCCAGUGUUUUGGUAUUGAAGCGCAGCACAUUUUGCGAUUCUAGCCGAUAAUACUUGCGUCCAUAAGCCUUUUUACAC
rnacentral:misc_RNA from 1 species